rnacentral:lncRNA from 1 species
CCAGUGUCCAGUUCCUACAGCACAGGCAGCAUCCAGCACCAGGCUCCUGCAGUGUGCACAGCUUCUCCAGAGCCAGGCUCCAGCAGCACCUAGUAGCCAGCAGGACAGUGGCUGUCACCUCCUUUGGGCAGCUGUGUAGCAUUGCUUCAGGUAAGGAUACAGCGAGAAGGCUGGCCUCUGCAAACCAGGAAGAGAGCUCUCACCAGACACUAUCUCCGCAGGAACCUUGAUCUUGGACUUCCCAGCCUCCAGAACUGUGCUGGUCAGAAAAUCAAUCCCAGGACUACAGCACUUCAAAGUCAGCAAGGAUCUCAAGACUAUUCUGCUGUCUGGAACUUUCACAAAGAAAUUAAAUCUCC